UGACACUUUUUGCAUGCCAAAAUAAUUUUAUAGAUAUUGUUUUAAGGUAAUUCUGAACAGAUGUGUAUAAGUUAAAGGACAAGUGAUCUAUUGCUAUGGAGUUGUUAUCUUUGAUUGGUAUUUUUAAAUGCAGAGUACAAGGUAACUGGAACAUAAGGCAUUUUGAAUGGUCUUUUUUGUUACUUUGGAUAAAUUUAUUUUCUGGGUAUAGAUUUUUGUGGAUAAGGAUAAAUUGUUUUUCCUUUGAUUUGAUUUUAUGGCUUUACAAAAGUCUGCAUACAAAUCUAUAGAAAGUUUGUUGUUCGUUGAACAUUUUACAAUAAGGUGGUACCUAACACUACAGGGAGAUAACUCUGUA
rnacentral:lncRNA from 1 species